UUCUCUCAAAACCCUUUCUUUUUCCCGCAGCCAACCAAACCAGUCUCAGAAAAACGACGAUCUCGAACCCGUUCACCGUUGGAUCGUCGUGAAAUUUGAGUAUCAUGUUCGCAACACAAUUCCGAGCAUUCUCACCGUUGGGAAUUUCGAUAUCAUGUCUGAACUGAGAGAAAAACCCUUCGCAUUGUAGCCUUUUUCUUUCCCGCAGAAACCCAGAGCUGUCUUGGUAAAACUACGAUCCCGGUUUAGUUAACCGUUGGAUUAUUGUGAAAUUUGGAUAUGUUGUUCGAAAUUCAAUUCCGCACGCUUCCACCGUUGGGAUUUGCGAGAUAAUAUUCGUGGAGGGAGAAAAAGGAAUCGUAUGAAGACAGUACAAGUGGAGGUUUCAAUCUCUUCUCCGUCUCUCUGACGUUUGGGAAUUCUAUCGGAGCAGUCGGAUGAAUAAUUGAAAGAAUUUCCGGGAACCGCUAGAGAUGUUGCUAUCGCUGGCUGAAGACACGUGAACCCGCUUAGAGGUAAGGGAUGAGUUAUUCACAGUUGGGGAUUAGUGAGAACAUGUGUAGGGAUCCUUAGAGGAUUAAAUUGGGAUUUUAUUUUGGAAUGUUUGUUAAAUUGCAAUUUUUCCUUUAUGAUUAUAAAUAAAAUAUUGAUGUCCUGAUGAAAAUUGCUUGAUAAAUUGUGCUCUCGAUAUUUGUAUAUUUGGACCUAUGAUUUGGAUAUAAUUGUGUAAUAUUAUUUGAGGGGUUUUAGUCCUCAUGUUGUGAUAGUCUUUUAUAUAAAUUGUUAUAUUGAGGAUAUGAAAUGAUAAUUCAAAUUGUGAGCAUGUGAUGAAUUGUAGAAUAACAUGUUGCUUUGAGAUUAUAAUAUUGUUAUUGAAAUUGAGUAUAAGUGUAAAGUUGAACAUGUGUUAAUUUGUGAGAUACGUGUAAACAUGUGAUGGUGGAUUGUGACACUAUGAGAUGUGAAAUUGUGAAUGAGUUCUAGUUGUGGAUAAGUGUGUAGUUAACACUUGAUGUGAAAUUACUUGUGUUGUAAGCCAUGAAUUGUACAAUACCCGACCAGCGUUAUCUUGAGAAAAGCGUUGAUGCGCAGUGUUAAAGAGAAAAUGUAGGUUUCCUAUUUAGGAACCAGUGUUAAAUCGUAGCGCAAUUGUGUUGAACGUGUUUAAAACACGAGUGUAAGGUCGUGAGUAUUGUAUAAUUCAUGAGCAGUGUCUGCAUGUAAAAAAAAUUAUUUUAGGGGUUGGACCUGAAUCAGGAGGGAGAGGCCCUGACGGACUCUUCGGAGUGUAGGCCUUGGGGGUCACCGGGUUUGAGUGCUCCUUUAAGCCUAUGCUGAUCUCAUAUGGUUGGAGCAUUCUCGCAAAACAUCGUGACCCUGACUGGUCUCCCUAUGAUCUUACUUAGUGAGAGUGACCUGACAAACCCAUUGUGUGGUGUGUCUUGUUAUGUACUCCUAAGCGCCCCAGGGUGGUUUUUCACUGACAUGGUACCACAUUGCAUAUAGAAUUGAGUCUUAGCAUAACUAUUGCAUAUGCUUGCUAAUUGAUGUGUUAUUAUAUCUUGAUCGAAGUGUGGGAUUCUUGUGUAAUGUGAUUGAUAAUUGAAAAGUGAAUUUUGAAUGACGAAGUGGUGAAGUUACGUGAGCUAUGUUUAAGCAAGUGGUAUCUCAUUUAUAUAAUAUGUAUAUUUAAUUGUCUUGUUUCUCUAUUAGUUAGGAAUGUGAUAACUCACUCCCUGUGUGUUGUUGUGUUUGGAUCCUGUGAUGAUCUUGAACUUGUGUUCGGGGGAGCAGAUGAAUAGGUGGAUGACUAUGAAGAACCUAAUGCUAGAGGACACGGGAACACCACGCUCUGAUAGGAUGUGACAUUAGGAUAUAGGUUCUAUAUUAAUUGUAUGAGACUUAUAUGACUUUCUUUGAGUCGAGAUGACUUUAUUAUUUAUUUGGACAAGUUUGAAUAUGAUGUAGAAGAAAGUGAACGUGAGCCUUUUACCCAUUUGAAAAGCUUGUAUUUAAAAAUGUUUUAAAAAUACUUUUAAUUAAUAUUUGAAUUUUUAUUCCUUUAUUAAUAUAUAUGUGAGGGGUAGAGGGUGUCACAUUUAGUGGUAUCAGAGCAGGUCGAACCUUUCGGCCAGUGUGUUAUGUGCUUACCAUAUUCUGGUGUGCACUCUGUGUGGUUACUUAUGAGUACUUUUGUUGAGCAUGCUUGAAUUUUUAUUUGUAUUUUCUCCUACAUGAUUAAAUAAGACUUAAUAAUAAUGCUUGUAUGUGCCUUGCAUCCUUAAUGUUUGUUAUACCAUAAAUCCACUGUUGAGUCAUGAGUUAUGAGACUGGCCAUCUCUAUAAUUUGUGAAGUGCGGUUCGACAUUAUGGUAAGCCGUUAGGGGAUGCAAGAAGCCUUGAUACUGAUGGAUAAUGCUUUAAUGAGCCCUUAUCUUCUUGCUUGUAUGUUGUUAAUAAACUUAUUUCUAUCUUGAUGUGUGGAUUAGUGUUGUGAAAACCUUUUGAACCAUAUAUAUAUCUUGGAUGAGUAUGUCUUUCUUGAUGUGUAAACGCAUGACUACUUAACUCACUUUAUUUUGUGUGUAGUCAUGAAUGUAGUAGUUGAAGUUUGUGAUUCUUUAAUACAUCCUUAUUAACUAUUAAAUUCUUACUUCUUAUAUGUACGUUGUAUACUUAUUAUAAGAACCUUAUAAUUCUGGGUAUGUUAGUAGUAUGGUGUUUUGCCUUAAUUGCAUAGAUAGUAUGGUUGUUCGUGAUUUCUUGUUCUUAGCAAUGUUGAUACUCUAUAGUUCGAUGACUCGUAUCGAGAUAUAUUUUAUAUAGAAUACUCUUUUGACCAUACCUUUUUAUUCUAGUGUAAACUAUUCUUUGUGUUGCGUACUUAAGUCGAGUAAUUCGAUUUCACUUGCAAGCUUGAGUAUAAUUCAUUGUUUGUGUUAUGAGCCUACAUCAAAUAAUUGGAUUAUUGAUGUUUCUGUCACGAUCAAGUGAUAGUUGAUAUCUCCAUAUGUGCGUACACUGUGAUUAUGUUUUCGUUUCUAGAAUUCAUUUGGAGUAUCUACUGUUGAUUCUAGAUGAGUGAUCCUUCUUGAUUUAAAAUUAUAGUCUCCUAAUCAAUCGAGUGUUCAUCUUAUUAUUGGCUGCUCAUCUUCCAAUCAUGUCUAGUUAAACUGCUUGAUAAUCUUUCUUGUUGUUACUUCUAAUACGAAUAAAGAGAGACUUCGCCUUUGACAAUCAUGUUAAGAUGUUUUGAGAGGAAAUACUUGAGUAGACAUGAUCAUUGUUACCUAUAGACGAAAGUCAAACUUAGUAAGACGUGUACCUGUGUUCCUUGAGGAUAUGCUUAGUUACCACCUAAGUGCAAGAUUGAGAAUCUUAUAAGUGUAGUACCCAUAGAAACUUGUAACCGUAGUUCGUGGGAAAUAUCUAGUGUAGAGUUGUUGGAGAACAUAGUCUAGUUGGAAAAGUUAUGAAGUAUAGUUAAGAGGUUUAAUGUGGAACCUUAAGAAGAGAGUAAGGUAGUUAGUAAGACAUUAAUUGUUAAGCAUAGAAGGAUUCAAGAGUGAGUGUUCUUGCGUAAGGUAGGUGACCUAAAAGAUUAUUGAUGAUAGUUGUACGAUUAGCAAGAUAAAUAUUAGUUCUUUUUACCUUAAUAUGGAAAAAGUUUGUUGAUGCUUUAAGAAAUACCUUAGUACCUAUUGUGACCUCUAUGUGUACCUGGUCAUGUCAUAAUAUGAUUGAUGUCUAUGUGUGUUUGUGGAAUGCGUGAUAGGAUCUCUCACCCUGAGUUAGCUCUUGUUGUGGUUUUGAUGAUUAGUGUUUAGUAUGUUUCCAGUUAAGUUGAAUUAUGAUGUGCAUUAUAAGGUUGUUAUAGACCCUUGGACAUCAUGUUCCGAGCUAAGAGUUUUGUUAUGCAUUUUAGUUAGAUGAAGAUGACCCUUAAAGUAUGCUACGUCUAGGUGAAAGAUAACUACAAAUCCUUCUUGGGCAGAAGUUGUUUUGAGAUGAGAGGAAACCUAAGAUUAAGAUGAAAUGCUCUUAACUAGUAGUCGAACCAAAAGGUUAUUUUAGGACUCAUUGGAUUAACCUUAAUGCUUGCUGGAGAUGACUUAAGUAAGUUUAAGUUUUUGAGUGAGAUCCUUGUAAGGAGUAAGCCAUAAGUUCAUAGAGAAGUCGACCACUGUAAAUUAUUGAGUGCUAUCUUAGUCGCGUAGGUCCUUAUUGGAGUAGUAAAAUAUUUGAAAUAAUUUUUAAGUUUAGAGGAGUGCUUGUAGGAGGACAAAUAGUGAUCAAUGUUUCUUGACAACUUAAGACUUAUGAAAAGAUUUAUCCUAUAUGUGAGUUAGAAUAGGUAACCAUGGGGUUCACCAUAAUAUUUUGGGAGACAUUACCGUUAGUUUGAUACAUUGUGAGGAUCUUUGGAGCUGAAUCCGAGAUAAAAGAGAUGUGUAAAAUUCUCAAGAAUCUUGUUGUGAGUUUAGUUUUAAAUGUUAGAACUAGCUUAGUAGUUAGAGUUUGAAUAGGAAACCGAUGAUAUGACUAGUGUCCUAGUUAUAGAGUUAGAUAUCGUAAACAACAGUUGAAAUCUCAACUUCAAGUGCAAAGUUAUAGGGUGACAUGAUGAGCAUAAAUGUGUGAAGAUUACCUCAAGGUGAACAAACUUACAGAAGUAGGGAGUAAUCUGUAUUGCUUAUCUAAUUAGCACCCAGUUAGUAUCAAGUAAGCAACCUUAGAGUUGAAUCGUUACCAUUCUUGAACCUAAGUGAGAGUUAUGAGUCAAGUAUACGAAAGUGAGAAAGAUCAUGUUGAAGGAAGAGGCUUAGACUCAAGGGUAGGCAAAUCAUGUAUUCUCGAUAGUCAUCGUGAACUAGGAUUGGUAGAGUGUGAGAGUCUCGAAACUCAUUAUCUUUCUUGAACCGUCCGAUGUUCGAAAAAGAGUCGACCAUGUGAUCAGUCACGUCUCCUUGUGUUUGUUUGUUCUUUUCAAUUUGUCAUUAGUGUCUCCUAUGAUAUUAUUCUACUCCAAAUAGUAUGUCAUUCACAUUCUAUUAUAGUUGAGAUGUCACUCUCGUGAGAAGACUUACUUAUGUAAUACUAUCAUUGAGUAAAUGAGGAUCACCGGAUUUAAUAGUUAAGUGCAGAGGAGUCUUGUGAUCAGAGUAAUAGAAAAAAAGUUUCAACUAGACACACAUCUUGAUAUUGAGAAUCAUAUGCGUGAUAUCUUUUUCUCGAUCUUUCGGCAAGUUUCGGGGACGAAACUUCUUUUAAGAGGGGUGGAAUUGUAACAUCCCAAUUUUUCGUAAAUAAAUUUAAAAAGCUUUUUAGUAAUAAAUAAAUAAAUAUAGAGCAAAUAAUAGGCUGAGUACCCUAGGUAUAAAUAGUUAUGUUAAGUCAGCUGCCUCCUUUUGGCCUCAUUUUCGUUUUUCCCCUUCUCUCAAAACCCUUUCUUUUUCCCGCAGCCAACCAAACCAGUCUCAGAAAAACGACGAUCUCGAACCCGUUCACCGUUGGAUCGUCGUGAAAUUUGAGUAUCAUGUUCGCAACACAAUUCCGAGCAUUCUCACCGUUGGGAAUUUCGAUAUCAUGUCUGAACUGAGAGAAAAACCCUUCGCAUUGUAGCCUUUUUCUUUCCCGCAGAAACCCAGAGCUGUCUUGGUAAAACUACGAUCCCGGUUUAGUUAACCGUUGGAUUAUUGUGAAAUUUGGAUAUGUUGUUCGAAAUUCAAUUCCGCACGCUUCCACCGUUGGGAUUUGCGAGAUAAUAUUCGUGGAGGGAGAAAAAGGAAUCGUAUGAAGACAGUACAAGUGGAGGUUUCAAUC
rnacentral:lncRNA from 1 species